rnacentral:tRNA from 1 species
GGGCAUGUGGCUUAGUGGUAGAGUGCUUGCCUAGCAUGCAUGAGGCCCUGGGUUCAAUUCCUCAGUACCA